UACGGGGGGGGGCAAGCGUUGUUCGGAAUUACUGGGCGUAAAGGGCUCGUAGGUGCCAACUAAGUCAUGCGUGAAAUCCCUCGGCUUAACCGGGGAACUGCGUCUGAUACUGGAUGGCUUGAGUUUGGCAGAGGGGGGUGGAAUUCCGCGUGUAGCAGUGAAAUGCGUAGAGAUGCGGAGGAACACCGAUGGCGAAGGCAGCCCCCCUGGGGCUGACACUGACGCUCAGGCACGAAAGCGUGGGGAGCAAACAGG
rnacentral:rRNA from 1 species